ACUAGUAGUAGUGGUUCCAAUGUCAAUACUAAUAACAAUGAAGGUGACAAUGAGGAUGACAUCCAAGCUUGGCGACAAAGCUUUCUUCACGCGAAGAAAACAGUGCUUGAUGAAAACAAAUCUGAGCUUGAUCGGUAUCUUGAAGCCGAAAGUGAAGAUGUCAUAAAUCUUGACCUUUUGAUGUGGUGGAAGAGUACUGGGUCAAAGUAUAAAAUCUUAUCUUUGAUGGCUCGGGAUGUUUUGUCAAUUCCCGUGACUACCGUUGCUUCGGAGUCGACUUUUAGUACAUCGGGACGUGUGCUUGACGGCUUUCGAAGUUCUUUGACUCCUAGAGUGGUGGAAGGUUUGAUUUGCACUCAAGAUUGGUUGAGAGCCGUUCGCGUGCCAAUUAAUGUUGAGGAGUGCAUUGAGAAUGCGGAAAAGUUUGAGUCAGAUUUGGAUUGUCUUACCGAGGACAUUAUCAUUGGUAAAUAGACUUCCUUUUGUGGAAGCUCCGAUUUUGUGGAUUUUUCUUAGAGAUUGAACCCAUUGAAGGUAACAUAGCUGGAUUCAGGCCACCUCCAAAAGUUGGAGCUUUUUGUCCUCUCGUAAGGCAGGGAAGGAUGCUGGAGCUUUUUGUCCACUUUUUUUUAAUUCUUAUGGCAUGGGACAAUUGUUUAUCAGAUUCUGAUGUGUGGAUUGGAGCCUUAGGAUUUUUGGAAACAGAAGUAAGGAGUUCUCUCAUCAUGGCGCAAAAUAAAGAGCUA